GAUGAACGCUGGCGGCGUGCCUAAUACAUGCAAGUCGAGCGAACAGACUAGUAGCUUGCUCCUUCGACGUUAGCGGCGGACGGGUGAGUAACACGUAGGUAACCUACCUAUAAGACUGGGAUAACUUCGGGAAACCGGAGCUAAUACCGGAUAAUAUUUCGAACCGCAUGGUUCGAUAGUGAAAGAUGGCUUUGCUAUCACUUAUAGAUGUACCUGCGCCGUAUUAGCUAGUUGGUAAGGUAACGGCUUACCAAGGCAACGAUACGUAGCCGACCUGAGAGGGUGAUCGGCCACACUGGAACUGAGACACGGUCCAGACUCCUACGGGAGGCAGCAGUAGGGAAUCUUCCGCAAUGGGCGAAAGCCUGACGGAGCAACGCCGCGUGAGUGAUGAAGGCCUUCGGAUCGUAAAACUCUGUUAUUAGGGAAGAACAAACGUGUAAGUAACUGUGCACGUCUUGACGGUACCUAAUCAGAAAGCCACGGCUAACUACGUG
rnacentral:rRNA from 1 species